rnacentral:rRNA from 1 species
AAACCCCUGUGACAUACCAAUUGUUGCCUCGGCGGAUCAGCCCGCUCCCGGUAAAACGGGACGGCCCGCCAGAGGACCCACAAACUCUGUUUCUAUAUGUAACUUCUGAGUAAAACCAUAAAUAAAUCAAAACUUUCAACAACGGAUCUCUUGGUUCUGGCAUCGAUGAAGAACGCAGCAAAAUGCGAUAAGUAAUGUGAAUUGCAGAAUUCAGUGAAUCAUCGAAUCUUUGAACGCACAUUGCGCCCGCCAGUAUUCUGGCGGGCAUGCCUGUUCGAGCGUCAUUUCAACCCUCAAGCCCAGCUUGGUGUUGGGACUCGCGAGUCAAAUCGCGUUCCCCAAAUUGAUUGGCGGUCACGUCGAGCUUCCAUAGCGUAGUAGUAAAACCCUCGUUACUGGUAAUCGUCGCGGCCACGCCGUUAAACCCCAACUUCUGAAUGUUGACCUCGGAUCAGGUAGGAAUACCCGCUGAACUUAAGCAUAUCAAUAAGCCGGAGGA